CGGGUGAGUAACGCGUAUGCAACUUGCCUAUCAGAGGGGGAUAACCCGGCGAAAGUCGGACUAAUGCCGCAUGAAGCAGGGAUCCCGCAUGGGAAUAUUUGCUAAAGAUUCAUCGCUGAUAGAUAGGCAUGCGUUCCAUUAGGCAGUUGGCGGGGUAACGGCCCACCAAACCGACGAUGGAUAGGGGUUCUGAGAGGAAGGUCCCCCACAUUGGUACUGAGACACGGACCAA
rnacentral:rRNA from 1 species